AAAGAUUACUGACUGUUUCAGGAAUUAGGAUGUCGAGAUGUUAGGAUGUGUUGGAAUAAAAUCAGUUCAUUUUUAUACUUUGUUUUUUUCUUUUUAGGAUCUGUUGGAAUAAAAUCUGUUCCUUUUUUUAUAUUUUAAAUGAGUUUUUUGUCAAGAUCUUUUGGAAUAAAAUCAGCUAUUUCUCUUCUCUAUUUUUUUAUUUUUUUUUUGGGUUUCCUUAAAUUGGAAUAUGAUUCUUUUCUUAAUUGAACGGCCAUAAACGUUGCAUUGGAAAUUCUUUUUAAUGCAUUUUCUUUUUCUUUUUCAUUUCCCUUGUAUUCGUGCAAAUAAAGGCCACAGCAGUUGAAGUGCUACAAGCGUUAAAGGGAAAAUUGGGCCCUCUUUCUUGUCAUUGAAAAAUACAAAGGGCCAAUUUUGUCAUUUCAGAGCAGCCCUCUUUCCCGUUGGAAGAGAAGAUGUCAAAAGCACAUGGAUGUUCUUCUCAUGUCCUCAUGUUGGAAAGGAAGCCGCAAUUGACUUUAUGUUCUAUUUUUUUUUCCUAAUGACAGCAUGCAUUGGUUGAUGAAUCUUUCUCCAAUCAAACGUUACAGACUCUAGUUUCAUUCUGCCGCUGAUUUACACAUGCAUGGGGAGUUCGCGCGACAUUGCCAUUGGGACCAGUAGCAGUUGUGUCUCUCCUUCUGGGGACUUUGCUACAAAAUGAGGUUGAUUCUGUUAAAAAUCCAGAUGAGUAUCUCCGGCUUGUAUUCACUGCAACAUUCUUUGUUGGGAUCACUCAAGUCACACACUUGGAUUUUUUAGGAUUCUUGAUCGACUUCCUAUCUCAUGCGGCCAUUGUUGGGUUCAUGGGUGGGGCAGCCAUCACAAUUGCUCUGUAACAGCUCAAAGGUUUCCUUGGCAUAAAGAAUUUUACUAAGAAGACAGAUAUAAUUCUGGUUUUGCAUUUGGUAUGGAGUUUUGUACAUCAUGGGUGGAAUUGGUAGACAAUCCUCAUAGGAUCAGUCUUCUUGGUUUUCCUUCUAGUUACCAAAUACAUUGUAAGUUUUUUCUCUUUGCUUCAUAUUCCUUGGACUCCAUGCUUGUGGAAGGUUUCCUUCUUACAUGACUCAAAAUUGUUACAGGGGAAGAAGAAGAAGAGCCUUUUCUGGGUGCCCGCGAUCGCCCCUUUGAUCUCUGUUAUUCUCUUGACCUUUUUUGUGUAUAUUACACAUGCAGAAAAGCAUGGUGUUAAAAUUGGAAGUUUCCGAACUUUGUAGAGUUAACAUCUCUAUUUUAUCUAAUAUUAGUCAACUAAUAGUGCUGCAAAUGUCUGAAAGGUGAAAGACAUACAAAGGGGUAUAAAUCUGUCAUCCUUGGACCAA